UAUUGUGGUGGUUUCUUUGUUUGGCAGAUCUGUAAUUGUAUCAGAGCAGCCUGAAACUACCACAGAGAUCAAAAAGGAGGGGAGGCUGUGCUGAGAACUUUUUCAGGCUCUUAGUUCUCAGCUUUUUAUUCAACUCCUAUAAAA
ensembl:snoRNA